GGAAGGUGGCUCAGUGGUAGAGUGCUUGCCUCACAUGCAUGAGAUAGACCCUAGGUUCAAUUCCUUACCACCA
rnacentral:tRNA from 1 species